GAAGGGCUGUAGCUCAGUGGUAGGGCAUCUACCUCGUAUGCAGAAGGUCGCAGGUUGGAUCCCUGGCAUCUUUA